GGACGCGGAGCUGUUGGGAUCGCGCCAUGGCCUGGGCCCCUCUCCUGCUCGCGGUGCUCGCCCACGGCUCAGGUUCCCUGGUCCAGGCAGCAGUGACUCAGCAGCCGCCCUCGGUGACCGUGUCCCCGGGAGACACCGUCCGGAUCACCUGCUCUGGUGGUAGUAGCAGCUACUAUGGCUGGUACCAGCAGAAGCCUGGCAGUGCCCCGGUCACUGUGAUAUAUAACAGUGACAAGCGACCCUCGGGCAUCCCUGCGCGAUUCUCCGGUUCCACCUCCGGCACCACGGCCACCUUAACCAUCACCGGGGUGCAAGCCGAGGACGAGGCCGUGUAUUACUGUGGUAGUGGUAGUGCUACCAUGACACCCCAGAGCAGUGGAGCAGUGUGA